rnacentral:rRNA from 1 species
UACGUAGGGGGCUAGCGUUGUCCGGAUUUAUUGGGCGUAAAGGGCGCGUAGGCGGCCUGGUCAGUCGGAUGUGAAAGCCCGGGGCUCAACCCCGGAACGGCAUCCGAGACGGCCAGGCUGGAGACCGGGAGAGUAGAGUGGAAUAGCCAGUGUAGAGGUGAAAUUCGUAGAUAUUGGCUGGAACACCGGUGGCGAAAGCGGCUCUCUGGCCCGGUUCUGACGCUGAGGCGCGAAAGCGUGGGGAGCAAACAGG